UAACACAUGCAAGUCGAGGGGUAACGGAAGUAGCUUGCUACUAGACGACGACCGGCGCACGGGUGAGUAACGCGUAUGUAAUCUGCCUUGUACAGAGGGAUAGCCCAGAGAAAUUUGGAUUAAUACCUCAUAGUAUUACUGAAUCGCAUGAUUUGGUAAUUAAAGCUCCGGCGGUACAAGAUGAACAUGCGUGACAUUAGCUAGUUGGUAAGGUAACGGCUUACCAAGGCUACGAUGUCUAGGGGUUCUGAGAGGAUGAUCCCCCACACUGGUACUGAGACACGGACCAGACUCCUACGGGAGGCAGCAGUGAGGAAUAUUGGUCAAUGGACGCAAGUCUGAACCAGCCAUCCCGCGUGAAGGAUGACUGCCCUAUGGGUUGUAAACUUCUUUUAUAUGCAAAUAAACCUACUUUCGUGAAAGUAGCUGAAGGUAGCAUAUGAAUAAACACCGGCUAACUCCGUGCCAGCAGCCGCGGUAAUACGGAGGGUGUAAGCGUUAUCCGGAUUUAUUGGGUUUAAAGGGUACGUAGGCGGUAAUAUAAGUCAGUGGUGAAAUCCUGCAGCNUCACU
rnacentral:rRNA from 1 species